rnacentral:rRNA from 1 species
AGCAGCCGCGGUAAUUCCAGCUCCAAUAGCGUAUAUUAAAGUUGUUGCAGUUGAAAAGCUCGUAGUUGAAUUUCGGGGUCAGUAGGCUGGUCGUGCCACAGGUAUGCACUGGUCUCACUGAUUCCUCCUUCCUGAUGAAUCGUAAUGCCAUUAAUUUGGUGUUGCGGGGAAUCUGGACUGUUACUUUGAAAAAAUUAGAGUGUUUAAAGCAGGCUAACGCCUGAAUACAUUAGCGUGGAAUAAUGAAAUAGGACGAUCGAUCCUAUUUUGUUGGUUUCUAGGAUUGACGUAAUGAUUAAUAGGGAUAGUUGGGGGCAUUAGUAUUCAAUUGUCAGAGGUGAAAUUCUUGGAUUUAUUGAAGACUAACUACUGCGAAAGCAUUUGCCAAGGAUGUUUUCAUUAAUCAAGAACGAAAGUUAGGGGGAUCGAAGACG